UCAGUUGAAGAUCCAGAAUUUGACCCUGAUAAUCCAGCUAUUUCUCAGAAUUACCUAAAGUUGUGUAAAAUUAGGCAGACAUUAAUAGAGACCUAUCAUAAUGAAUUUCUAGGUACUCUGAUUCAGCAAGCAGUUGACAGAAAGGGGCGGUAUCGUCCCGUUACUCAUAAAUUACUAAAGGUUGGCGAUGUUGUAUUAAUUAAGGAGGAACAUACCAAAAGGAAUAAUUAUCCUCUAGGCAUAAUUCUAGAAGUUUUUAAGAAUGAUUUGGGUGAAGUUACCCAUGCUGUUAUUAAGAAGGGAAAAACAGGCCAGACAUCAAGGUUCCAUGUUAAUAAUAUUAUUCCAAUACUAGAAAACACAGGAAGUACCAAUUCAGCUACUCCUGAUUUUUGUAAUUCUGUUACUUCGUCCUUAAGGCCCAAAAGAAAGGCUGCUAUAUUAAGCCAAGAAAGGACAAGACAGAUGCUUUAAUCUUUAUUCAGUAUUUGUAUUUUCUUGUAUUUAAUUUAAUUAUUUUUACAUUUCUUAAAUGUAUUUUUCUUACAAUUGUCCAGUAACAUAUGUUUCAGGAUGGAAUUUUUUCAUUUCUGAAAAAAUUCCAUCUUCGCCCCUGGACUGUACAAGACAUUUCAUAUUCUCACAUGGCGACAGGAAAGACUAGUCAUUAUUAAGAACUUGGUAUUUCAAUUGCCCUACUCUUGGUACCAUCAAACUGUCUUUCCUGCCGUCCAGUCUUUAAAGAUGGGUAGUUUGCUAACUCCUCCUACUUCCAUAUGCUUUACUCGAGCGAAAACGGCGACGAGGAGCCAGGCAGCCCGGCCGUCAGGCAGACUCAGAGAGAGACUCAUAGAGAGAGCCACAGAGAAGAGAGCAGAGACCUCACUCACCUGGGAAGGUUCCUACAAUUUUGAUUCGUCCGACAUGCCUGUCUUAGGCUAAAGGCUUUUAUUGGGAUCCCUGGUCUACGUCACCCUCUUGUGAACAUCUGCCAAAAUCCAUCUGCAACGCCUUUGUGCAUGGUUCGACAAUGACAGCGAGCGAAGCAGAACGAAGGAAACGCCCUACGAUCUACGUGAAUUGCCCUGUUCUCCUACCAAUUGUUUGUAACUACGGUACUACGUCAUUUUAAAGGCUUAUUUAUGUAAUAAAUAUCAUAUUUAA